GUGCCAGCCGCCGCGGUAAUACCGGCAGCUCGAGUGAUGGCCGAUUUUAUUGGGCCUAAAGCGUCCGUAGCCGGCCCUGUAAGUCCAUUGGGAAAUCCACGCGCUCAACGCGUGGGCGUCCGGUGGAAACUGCACGGCUUGGGGCCGAGAGACUCGACGGGUACGUCCGGGGUAGGAGUGAAAUCCUAUAAUCCUGGACGGACCACCAAUGGGGAAACCACGUCGAGAGACCGGACCCGACAGUGAGGGACGAAAGCCAGGGUCUCGAACCGGAUUAGAUACCCUGGUAGUCC
rnacentral:rRNA from 1 species